rnacentral:lncRNA from 10 species
AUUUCGAAGCUGAAGAGGUUAGGCGACGCUGACUUGCUUUCAGGAGAGGCACUCGGUAAUCGAGAAGAACCGGCUUUCGGCCAGCCAGGAGUGGCCAGAGGCCUAGAAGGGGAGAGGAAGGCCUGCCUGCCCAGCAUUGCAAGGCCCAGCGAUCACCAGACGUGCCUCAGGACACAGGGCACAGUGUCCAACUUUGACGCGUCCUCUCCGGGCACUUUAAUACCAAAUCACGGCUCCGCCACUUGACAGCUAUGUGGACAGUCCCUGAACCUUAAACGGUCUUUUCCUUGUGUGUAAAUUCCGAGUUCAUUUUUCCCCCAUCACAUUAGCAACAAGUUAAAAAAACUGAUAAUAUCCGGUUUGGUCCAAGGUAUAUUGAAACCUGUUGUGUGCCCUCGCAGCGCUAUCACAGUGGAACUUGGACAUGUUAAAAGUAUAUAUCCUUCCUCCCGGCAGUUUCACUUCUAGACACUAAUUCUAGAGAAAUAAGUAUACACAUACACAAAAAGCUAUGUGUGAAGAUAUUUAAUGCCAUAUUAUUUGCAUUCUGGAGAAACACUGGGGAUGAAAUGAAGAUUAAUAGGAAACUGGUUAAGAGAACGCUGCUACACAUCCAAUCUGGGUUGUCAUCCAUCCAAGAAUGAACUAGAUAGUUACUGAAUUUAAAAAACAACAAAAAAAGGGCCCGGCGCUUUUUUUGGGAUUACUCCUGUAAUCCCAGCACUUUGGAAGGCCGAGGCAGGCGGAUCACCUGAGGUCGGGAGUUCGAGACCAGCCUGACCAACAUGGAGAAACCCCGUCUCUACUAAAAAUACAAAAAUUAGCCGGGCGUGGUGGCGGGCGCCUGUAAUCCCAGCUACUCAGGAGGCUGAGACAGGAGAAUCGCUUGAACCCGGGAGGCAGAGGUUGCAGUGAGCCCAGAUCGCACCAUUACACUCCAGCCUGGGCGACAGAGCGAGACUCCGUCUCGAAAAAAUAAAUAAAUAUAAAAAAAUAAAAAUACCAAAUUAGCUGGGCAUGGUGGUGCAUGCCUGUCAUCCCAUCUACUCGGGAGGCUAAGGCAGGAGAAUUGCUUGUACCCAGGAGGCGGAGAUUGCGGUGAGCCGAAAUCGCGUCAUUGCACUCCAGCCUGGGCAACAAGAGCGAAACUCUU